rnacentral:lncRNA from 1 species
GGGACCCCAAAAUCCCACCUGAGGGACCCCAAAAUCCACCUGAGGGACCCCAAAAAUCACCUGGGGGACCCCAAAAAUCACCUGGGGGACCCCAAAUCCCACCUGAGGGACCCCAAAAAUCACCUGGGGGACCCCGAAAAUCACCUGGGGGACCCCAAAAAUCACCUGGGGGACCCCAAAUCCAACCUGGGGGACCCCAAAAAUCACCUGAGGGACCCCAAAUCCCACCUGAGGGACCCCAAAAAUCACCUGAGGGACCCCAAAAAUCACCUGAGGGACCCCAAAAUCCACCUGGGGGACCCCAAAAAUUCACCUGGGGGACCCCUAAAAUCACCUGGGGGACCCCAAAAAUCACCUGGAGGACCCCAAAACUCACCUGGGGGACCCCAAAAAUCACCUGGGGGACCCCGAAAAUCACCUGGGGGACCCCAAAUCCCACCUGAGACCCCCCAGGUGGGACCAGGACCAGGUGGGACCCCAAAAAUCCCCCAAAAUUCACCUGGGGACCCCCAAAUCCACCUGGGGACCCCCAAAAAUCCCCUCAAAUCCACCUGGGGACCCCCAAAAUCCAUCUGGGGACCCCCAAAGCCCCCCAAAAUCCAUCUGAGGACCCUCAAAUUCACCUGGGGACCCCCAAAAUUCACCUGGGGACCCCCAAAUCCACCUGGGGACCCUCAAAAUUCACCUGGGGACCCCCAAAAUCCCCCCAAAAUUCACCUGGGGACCCCUAAAAUCCACCUGGGGACCCCCAAAAUCCCCCCAAAAUCCACCUGGGGACCCCCAAAUCCACCUGGGGACCCUCAAAUCCACCUGGGGACCCCUAAAAUCCCCCCAAAAUUCACCUGGGGACCCCAAAAUUCUCCUGGGGACCCCCAAAUCCACCUGGGGACCCCCAAAAUCCCCCCAAAAUUCACCUGGGGACCCCCAAAAUCCCCCCAAAAUUCACCUGGGGAUCCCCAAAUCCACCUGGGGACCCCCAAAAUCCCACCCGAGACCCCCCCAGGUGUGACCGGGACCCCAAAAUCCCCCUGGGGGUCUCCCCAUCCCCCCCCGAGGGGAUUUUGGGGUCUCCCCCUCCCCAAUUUUGUCUUUUCCAAAUAA